rnacentral:lncRNA from 1 species
GCCUCUUUCCGCCCCCGCCCACAAUCGAGCGCACUAACUCGCACCUUCCGGCAAGAGACGGCGCGGGCGCGCCCCGCCCGCAAGGUUUUUCGGGAGUCACGGUCUGAGGGCGACCCGGGCGACCCGGUCGCCCGUGCCCGGCUGCCACUGACCGCUCCAACGCCGCCAGGGACGACCCGCCAGCUGCCUCCGGAGCCGAGCAGGCCCCGAACCUUCCCAUUCCUAGAUUUCCAGCCGCACAACAGCCGCGGUGCCCCUGGCUCGACGCAGCUGGCCGGAGGCGCGGAGCUGGUCGUUCGUCCCGCCCGCCGUUCCGCGCCCCUCUCCCGGCUCUUGUUUCCUCGCCUCUUAACGAGGCCUUUGUGAGGAAGGUUGCUGGGCCUUGGGACUCUGACGAUCGGCUGGAAACCAGGCCUGGCCCUGUUUCAGCAUCCCCGCGUGCCAAGCCCUGGGCCGGCGUGCGGGUCCCUGCCCCUGCGAGGAAGCUGGGACUUUUGCAGGCCUGGGUGGAGACGUGUACAUAACAGAGGAAGAGUGUGGAGGAUUGGAGGACUCAGGGCAGCACGGCAGAGGCUGGAACUGCUACCAGAGUGGAGACUGAGCUCCUGGAUCGGGUACAUCCUGAAGUCUGCUGCCUUUGGAUUGGCAUUAUGAGAGCUAAUAAAUCCCCCUUUGAAACCCCCAGAGCUCAGAGGGGCUUUCUAGGCCAGGCAUCAUCAAUGUAUUCCAUCAAUAUCAAAUUAAAUGGGUUUGGAUCACACAACACGGGAUAUGAGCAAUGUUUAUUUCUUUUUUUUUGAGAUGGAGUUUGACUCUUGUCACCAGGCUGGAGUGGUGCGAUCUCAGCUCACUGCAACCUCCGUCUCCUGGGUUCAAGCGACUCCAUUCUCUUGCCUCAGCUUCCCGAGUAACUGGGAUUACAGGCGCCAGCCACUACGCCCAGCUAAUUUUUGUAUUUUUAGUAGCGACGGGGUUUCACCAUGUUGGCCAGGCUGGUCUUAAACUCCUGACCUCAGGUGAUCCACCUGCCUCAGCCUCCCAAAGUGCUGGGAUUACAGGUUUGAGCCCCCUUGCCUGGCCAAUGUUUAUUUCUUUAAAUGAAAUUUAAUCUGCUCCCAGCUGCAAUUCUACAGAGAUGUGGAAAUUCUUCUCCUUACCUACCUGGGUGGUAAAAUCCUGGGGUUCUCACAAACUCAGAAUAUUGGAGUAGGGCUCUUGUCCUUUAGCCUGUUCUUGUCACUGCUGAGAUGCCUGCCUUCCUGGUCUGAGUGUACCCUGGGACUCAGCCUCCUCAUCUGAGGCACCAUCUCCUCUGCAGGCCCAAGGAGGAUAUUGGGAGUUGGGGAAGGAAAUAUAUCUCCCCUGGACAUCUAGCUUAUCUGUCAGUUUCCACUCCCCAACCCCUUACUGCUCUGCUCACCACCCCACGGACUUGACGCUUUUCUCUCUUUCCUGGGAAGAAGGUGGCUUAAUGUACUUUCUUCUUGAGGCUGUCACCAGCAGGCGUUCACUCAGCAAGCCUGUCCUCAAGGUGGAGCCUUCUGUAGCCCACGGAGUCCCGGGACACUGCAGAACCAAUCCAUCUUGGUCCCUGCCUUGGGUGAAGUCCUGCCUCCAUUGGCCCUGAUCUUGUUGGAUCUGGGCUGCUUCUGAUGCUAGAGAAAGGGGAGGAGGGGGUGCUCCCAG